GAUGAAGAAAGUAGCAAAAUGCGAUAAGUAAUGUGAAUUGCAGAAUUCAGUGAAUCAUCGAAUCUUUGAACGCACAUUGCGCCCGCCAGUAUUCUGGCGGGCAUGCCUGUUCGAGCGUCAUUUCAACCCUCAAGCACAGCUUGGUGUUGGGACUCGCGUUAAUUCGCGUUCCCCAAAUUGAUUGGCGGUCACGUCGAGCUUCCAUAGCGUAGUAGUAAAACCCUCGUUACUGGUAAUCGUCGCGGCCACGCCGUUAAACCCCAACUUCUGAAUGUUGACCUCGGAUCAGGUAGGAAUACCCGCUGAACUUAAGCAUAUCAAUAAGCGGAGGA
rnacentral:misc_RNA from 1 species